rnacentral:misc_RNA from 1 species
GAUGAAGAACGUAGCGAAAUGCGAUAAGUAAUGUGAAUUGCAGAAUUCAGUGAAUCAUCGAAUCUUUGAACGCACAUUGCGCUCCCUGGUAUUCCGGGGAGCAUGCCUGUUCGAGCGUCAUUACAACCCUCAAGCUCUGCUUGGUGUUGGGCCCCGCCGCCCCGGCGGGCCCUAAAGUCGGUGGCGGUGCCGUCCGGCUCCGAGCGUAGUAAUUCUUCUCGCUCUGGAGGUCCGGUCGUGUGCUCGCCAGCAACCCCCAAUUUUUUUCAGGUUGACCUCGGAUCAGGUAGGGAUACCCGCUGAACUUAAGCAUAUCAAUAAGCGGAGGA